UGGGCAACCCCCACUCCGAAACUGGCCUCGGCGUCCGGGUUGCGGCCCCUAAAGAAAGCUGGCCCGAAGAAGGAAGAGGAGGAGGAGGAGUUUUAUCCUUAAGGCCUGGGAGAUGCAGAAUAGUCCGAGAGAGAACCAUGUUUAAAACCCUCGAAGGCUGCGUUGGAGGAGGGAAUCCGCUCCAGAGACGGAGUCUCGCCCUGUCGCCCAGGCUGGAGUGCAGUG